AGCUUUGUGCAGUGGCAGUAUCGUAGCCAAUGAGGUUUAUCUGAGGCACGAUUAUUGCUAAUUAAAUUUAGCAUCAUUACUUCUGAGUCAGACUUUGGGUGUCACUGUUUGCUUCCUCUGCCCACCAUGGGCUGGAGG